UACGGAGGGGGCAAGCGUUGUUCGGAAUCAUUGGGCGUAAAGAGUAUGUAGGCGGCUAUUUAAGUCAGGCGUGCAAGCCCACGGCUCAACCGUGGAAUUGCGUCUGAAACUAUUUAGCUUGAGUUCAGGAGAGGAAGGCGGAAUUCCCAGUGUAGCGGUGAAAUGCAUUGAUAUUGGGAAGAACACCAGUGGCGAAGGCGACUCUCUGGACCGUUUCUGACGCUAAGGCUCGAAAGCGUGGGUAGCAAACAGG
rnacentral:rRNA from 1 species